rnacentral:RNase_P_RNA from 1 species
AACAUCAGGCAAUCGCUGGGAAACCAGAGGAAAGUCCAUGCUCGCACAGCCUGUGAUGGCUGUAGUGUUUGUGCUAAGCCAAUAAAUAAGCUUAGGUAGUUAAUAGCUAACGGCUGGUGUAAUUCCUAAGGGCAACUAUGGAAUGAACCUGUAAAAGUGUCAAAGAGACGAUACUGAUAGAAAUAUCAGGAGUGGAACGUGAUAAACCCCGCAAGCGAGAAACCCAAAUUUGGUAGGGGAAUCUGAAUAGUGAAUCGAAACGAAUUCAGGCUAGAAAUAGAGAUAAAUGAUUGCUUAAUACAGAACAUGGCUUAUUAAU